rnacentral:rRNA from 1 species
GAUGAACGCUGGCGGCGUGCCUAAUACAUGCAAGUCGAGCGAACAGACGAGGAGCUUGCUCCUCUGACGUUAGCGGCGGACGGGUGAGUAACACGUGGAUAACCUACCUAUAAGACUGGGAUAACUUCGGGAAACCGGAGCUAAUACCGGAUAAUAUAUUGAACCGCAUGGUUCAAUAGUGAAAGACGGUUUUGCUGUCACUUAUAGAUGGAUCCGCGCUGCAUUAGCUAGUUGGUAAGGUAACGGCUUACCAAGGCAACGAUGCGUAGCCGACCUGAGAGGGUGAUCGGCCACACUGGAACUGAGACACGGUCCAGACUCCUACGGGAGGCAGCAGUAGGGAAUCUUCCGCAAUGGGCGAAAGCCUGACGGAGCGACGCCGCGUGAGUGAUGAAGGUCUUCGGAUCGUAAAACUCUGUUAUUAGGGAAGAACAAAUGUGUAAGUAACUAUGCACGUCUUGACGGUACCUAAUCAGAAAGCCACGGCUAACUACGUG